GACGUAGGAUGCAAGCGUUGUCCGGAUUUAUUGGGCGUAAAGCGCUCGCAGGUGGUUCGUUGCGUCGUGCGUGAAAGACCCCGGCUCAACUGGGGAGGGUCGUGCGAUACGGGCGGACUGGAGGCCAGUAGGGGGAUGCGGAAUUCCGGGUGUAGUGGUGGAAUGCGUAGAGAUCCGGGGGAACACCAGCGGCGAAGGCGGCAUCCUGGACUGGUCCUGACACUCAGGAGCGAAAGCGUGGGGAGCGAUCCGG
rnacentral:rRNA from 1 species